UGUCGGUAAUUCUGAUGGUAAGUUACCAUCAGAUCUCGGUCGGUAAGAUAAAGGUAGAA
rnacentral:lncRNA from 1 species